GACCAGCAGCAUCCAUGUCCUCCAGUUUGCCAGUGGAUGACCUACUUCUCAAGGAGCCCAGUGGUGAGAAGGACUUAUUGAACAUUCGAGGAAUGGAGGGGAUGUGGUUGAUUGUUAGUAUGCUGAUUAUAAAGUGCCUUUGAAGAUAUGAACAAGUGCAUUCACUUAUCUGGAUAAGUUUUAACAUCCCAACCUCCGCAAACACUGCUUCCAAAUCCAGUAUCGUUCACAGCAGACAGCAUCAACGCUGCUGAGCCAAGACUUUUUCAGGUUUUGUUAACAAAGAUGCUGCCAGAACUGUCGAGUUACUCCAGCACUUCCUGUUUUCAUUUCAUAAUCCACACAUGAAUUUAAAGGACAACUAAUUACUUCUUUGAUGGAGAAGAUUUUAAAUGAGGGAGUGAGCAAAUGCUUCAAGUUCAGACAUUGACAGAGAGAGGAAACCAUCAUCUGAGACCUAGCAGAUGGAAAGAGCUGUUUCUGAGUGAUAACAUUUGUAUGAUUGAAAUAAUUCGGUGCCCAAGACCUUGGUUCGCUACCUAUCAUUGUAAAAAUGUAUGUAUUCACCUCAUACCAGAAAUUUAAAGACCAUUCAGUCGGUACUUAAAUAAUAUAUUGAUCCUGCUUUUAAGAAAAUCUCACUAAUAGUUUCAUAAUUUGUCUCAUAUGGCCUUCCAAUAACACGCCAUAAAAAUAGCAUUGCGGAAACUUUAUUGAGUAUUUUCCAGCUCAUUAUUACAAAAGUCAUUUUUAAUUAAAUAGUGGAGAGGGAGGUU